rnacentral:rRNA from 1 species
GGUGGCGAAGGCGGCCUUCUGGACAGAUACUGACGCUGAGAUGCGAAAGCGUGGGGAGCAAACAGGAUUAGAUACCCUGGUAGUCCACGCUGUAAACGAUGUCGAUUUGGAGUUUGUUGCCUAGAGUGAUGGGCUCCGAAGCUAACGCGAUAAAUCGACCGCCUGGGGAGUACGGCCGCAAGGUUAAAACUCAAAUGAAUUGACGGGGGCCCGCACAAGCGGUGGAGCAUGUGGUUUAAUUCGAUGCAACGCGAAGAACCUUACCUGGUCUUGACAUCCACAGAAUCUUGUAGAGAUAUGAGAGUGCCUUCGGGAACUGUGAGACAGGUGCUGCAUGGCUGUCGUCAGCUCGUGUUGUGAAAUGUUGGGUUAAGUCCCGCAACGAGCGCAACCCUUAUCCUUUGUUGCCAUCGGUUAGGCCGGGAACUCAAAGGAGACUGCCGUUGAUAAAGCGGAGGAAGGUGGGGACGACGUCAAGUCAUCAUGGCCCUUACGACCAGGGCUACACACGUGCUACAAUGGCGUAUACAAAGGGAGGCGACCUCGCGAGAGUAAGCGGACCUCAUAAAGUACGUCUAAGUCCGGAUUGGAGUCUGCAACUCGACUCCAUGAAGUCGGAAUCGCUAGUAAUCGUGAAUCAGAAUGUCACGGUGAAUACGUUCCCGGGCCUUGUACACACCGCCCGUCACACCAUGGGAGUGGGUUGCACCAGAAGUAGAUAGCUUAACCUUCGGGAGGGCGUUUACCACGGUGUGGUUCAUGACUGGGGUGAAGUCGUAACAAGGUAACCGUAGGGGAACCUGCGGUUGGAUCACCUCCUUAC